rnacentral:rRNA from 1 species
GACAAACGCUGGCGGCGUGCCUAACACAUGCAAGUCGAACGGAGCGGUAGCAAUACCGCUUAGUGGCGGACGGGUGAGUAACGCGUGAGCAACCUGCCUUGGAGAGGGGGAUAACACAGGGAAACCUGUGCUAAUACCGCAUGAAGUCAAUUGAAAGCAUUUGAGAUUGACCAAAGAUUCAUCGCUCUGAGAUGGGCUCGCGUCCGAUUAGAUAGUUGGCGGGGUAAAGGCCCACCAAGUCUGCGAUCGGUAGCCGGACUGAGAGGUCGAACGGCCACAUUGGGACUGAGAUACGGCCCAGACUCCUACGGGAGGCAGCAGUGGGGGAUAUUGCGCAAUGGGGGGAACCCUGACGCAGCAACGCCGCGUGAAGGAAGAAGGUUUUCGGACUGUAAACUUCUUUGGCGGGGGACGAUAAAAAGACGGUACCCCGAGAACAAGCCACGGCUAACUACGUG